rnacentral:rRNA from 1 species
CACGUAGGGGGCGAGCAUUGUCCGGAUUUAUUGGGCGUAAAGAGCUCGUAGGCGGCUCGGUAAGUCGGGUGUGAAAUUUCGAGGCUUAACCUCGAAAACGCCACCCGAUACUGCUGUGGCUAGAGUCCGGUAGGGGAGCGUGGAAUUCCUGGUGUAGCGGUGAAAUGCGCAGAUAUCAGGAGGAACACCAGCGGCGAAGGCGGCGCUCUGGGCCGGUACUGACGCUGAGGAGCGAAAGCGUGGGGAUCAAACAGG